rnacentral:lncRNA from 1 species
GGACUACAUAAAUUGGUUUAAAUGUGAAAUAAUAUUGGAGAUGUAAAUGCUCACAAAUAGGCCGCAUCCUCUUACUGUGAAGUGAAAACCAUUCCCUCAUAUCCUUCCCCCUGAGAAAUUAAAAUCAAGGUUGGAUAGAGCCUUCACAAAUGGAAUAUAGCUCAUCUAACAUCCCAAGAUGACCUGAGUAUGUGUACAGUGAUCUUCAAAUCUAACGUUGAGAGAGGUUCAUGAUAAAGGUACUGUGAUCAUGAAAGUAGCUUUUCAUUGUCGCUCCAACGUGAAUCUAACUCGAAAACCAACCGAGCCGACUACAAAGAAAUCGAAGAAGAUGAUUACUUAGAGCUGGAAAAA